CAGCCGCGCGGUAAUACGUAGGUGGCAAGCGUUGUCCGGAAUUAUUGGGCGUAAAGGGCUCGCAGGCGGUUUCUUAAGUCUGAUGUGAAAGCCCCCGGCUCAACCGGGGAGGGUCAUUGGAAACUGGGAAACUUGAGUGCAGAAGAGGAGAGUGGAAUUCCACGUGUAGCGGUGAAAUGCGUAGAGAUGUGGAGGAACACCAGUGGCGAAGGCGACUCUCUGGUCUGUAACUGACGCUGAGGAGCGAAAGCGUGGGGAGCGAACAGGAUUAGAUACCCCUGUAGUCCCUGUCUCUUAUACC
rnacentral:rRNA from 1 species